UUUCCUGUUACAAAAACAUAAAUCAAUAGCAAAAAGAACUCAAGACCAGAUGUUGAACCUUCACAUGAGGUAUGAUUUAUGAACUUAACACAACAAGUUUAGAUUCCACCAUACUUACCUGUUUAAUCAAACCUCAUCACAUGGUACACAUAUUUUACCAUCUAACACAUUAGAAACACAAACAAAAAGGUUCUUACAACUCCUUUUCUUCUUCUUAACUUUGAACAUGUAUUUACCAUGACACAUAUUGUCCCUUAAUACAAUCCUCAUCAAAUACACUUACCAUCACAGGCUCAAGCAAAUGUGUAUAUAUAGAAAAAAGAAAGCGCGUAUAUUUCAGGGUUAUACUUGGUGGCAGGAUCAACUUCUAAAUGGGAUGAAGGUUGGCGUUUUUGCUGAAAACCAAGGCAACUAACCUUGAGUAUUCCAG
rnacentral:lncRNA from 1 species